rnacentral:rRNA from 1 species
UGCGUAGGCUGCGCGGAAAGUUGGGUGUGAAAGCCCUCAGCUCAACUGAGGAAUUGCAUCCAAAACUGCCGUGCUAGAGGGAGACAGAGGUGAGCGGAACUCAAGGUGGAGCGGUGAAAUGCGUUGAUAUCUUGAGGAACACCGGUGGCGAAAGCGGCUCACUGGGUCUCUUCUGACGCUGAGGCACGAAAGCUAAGGUAGCAAACG